rnacentral:rRNA from 1 species
GACUGCAGGCUGCAACUCGCCUACACGAAGUCGGAAUUGCUAGUAAUCGUAGGUCAGCAUACUACGGUGAAUACGUUCCCGGGCCUUGUACACACCGCCCGUCAAACCAUGAGAGUUGGCAACGCCCGAAGUCGGUAGUCUAACCGCAAGGAGGACGCCGCCGAAGGUGGGGUUGAUGAUUAGGGUUAAGUCGUAACAAGGUAAC